CUGCACUUCAUUGCUAUAAUGGUCCUGACAUUUUUUAAUUUGUGGAGGAUACUUGGGUACUAAGUGACUGCCAGCAUACCUUCAGACAAAUUUCAGUUGUCAUUGUUGGUUAGCUGGCCCAAGCUGGGCUCGAAUGCACCAACUUCGGUGUAUGUGGCUGUGCUGCAGGUGCAGAGCCAGCAGACACUCUUGGUUGCGCAGAGAAACUGUCAUGCUAUAGUCCCUCUCAGUAGACAAUCUUUGAUUCUGCUGUCCAGGCUGGAGUGAAGUGGCUUUAUCAUAGCUCACUGGAACCUCAAACUCCUGGAAUCAAAUGAUCAACUGAAGCAAGAUGCUUCAGUCUCCUGAGUAGCUGGGACUUUAGGCAUGUGCCCCCAUGUUCUGCUAAUUUUUAAAUUUAUUGUAGAGAUGAGAUCUCACUAUGUUACCCAGGUCAGUCUUGGCCUCCUGGCCUCAAGUGAUUCUUCUUCCUUGGCCUGCCAAAGUGGUAGGCUUAAGAUUAAUAUACAUAUAAAAUCAUGACUAGGCUGUAGUCUUUUUAGACUGGCUUUGUUCACUUAGCAAUAUGCAAUUAAGGUUUCUCCAUGUCUUAUUGUAGCUUGGUAGUUCAUUUUUUUCAUGCAACAUUCCAUUGUUGUAUGAAAUGGCAUGAAUAUACCACAGUUUAUUUUUCAUUCAUCUAUUGAGUGAUAUCUUCAUUGUCCAAGUUUUAGCAAAUUAUGAACAAAGUUGCUAUUAACCUUCCUAUAUAGGUUUUUCU